rnacentral:lncRNA from 1 species
AACUUUGAAUAAAAUUACCAAAUUAUACACUUUUGCAAAAAUAUCUCAAUAUAGAUAAGCUAAAAAGACAUUAUUCGGGAAGAACUAAUCCAAUUUGGAAAGGACAAUGUCUUCUGUCAAAAAACAGAGUUGGCUUACUGCAUAUUGUAAUAAAAGAUGCCACCUUCCAUGAUGCCAUUGAUGCUAAUAAAUAUCAGAGCUCAUCCUUGUCAUUAGAUCCUACAAUAGAACCAAAAGAGGAGUAUCUUUUAAUUCAAUCCAAAUUUCAUAGCUAUAAAACUAGUUAGGUUGCCCACAUAAGAACAACCAUAUUUCCAACUUGUGCAACUAAACUUUUGGGUGUUUUGACUUAUAGAUCACAAUCUUUGUAAACUUUUAUUUCAAACUUUUGAGUAAGGCAUGAACCAACAACUAUCUAACAUCAAACUAAGUUUUUCAUAGCUAUUUAGGCCAUCUGCGGCUGCUUUAAAGCCAGCUAAACUGUUAUGAACUUUGAUCUUAUUAUACAUUUUAAUCACAAAAUGACAAAUGCAGGUUUAAAUUGCAGAUUCAUGAGAUGAAGUAGUUUUCUAGUACAGGAUCUACUUCCUACAAAAAAAAUAUGCACAAAAAUAAAUCUAGGAAGGAUCUAGAAGUCAUGUUCAAUAAAUUCUUGCUGAGAAUCUCACAUGAAUAGGACUUCGGUGCUAAAAACUCUAAAAUUUCUCAUGUGAAGGCAAUUGUGUUAUACCAGUUUAAUUACGAUACAAGAAAAUGGUUUGAAGACACGGAUUAUUAAAAAGAAGGAUACAACAAUUUUGGAAAAAUAACAGACAAAAUUCAGAAAGAAGAAUAUAAAUUAUGGAAACAAAGUUAAAAUAGCAGCAAAUUUUGUACAUAAUUAAACGUGAGUGAAGUUCUAAAAUAACAUAAAGACCAACUUUGAAUAAAAUUAUCAAAUUAUACACUUUUGCAAAAAAAUCUCAAUAUAGAUAAGCUAAAAAGACAUUAUUCGGGAAGAACUAAUCCAAUUUGGAAUGGACAAGGUCUUCUGUCAAAAACAGAGUUGGCUUACUGCAUAUUGUAAUAAAAGAUGCCACCUACCAUGAUGACAUUGAUGCUAAUAAAUACCAGAGCUCAUAUUUGUCAUUUGAUCCUACAAUAGUACCAAAAGAGGAGUAUCUUUUAAUUCAAUCCAAAUUUCAUAGCUAUAAACCUAGUUAGGUUGCCGACACAAGAACAACCAUAUUUCCUACUUAUGCAACUAAACUUUUGGGUGUUUUGACUUAUAAAUCACAAUCUUUGUAAACUUUUAUUUCAUGCUUUUGAGUAAGGCAUGAACCAACAACUAUCUAUCAUCAAACUAUGUUUUUCAUAGCUAUUUAGGCUAUUUGCGGCUGCUUUAAAGCCAGCUAAAUUGUUCUGAACUUUGAUCGUAUGAUACAGUUUAAUCAGAAAAUGACAAAUGCAGGUUUAAAUUGCAGAUUCAUUAGAUGCAGUAGUUUUCUAGUAAAGGAACUACUUCCUACAAAAAAAAUAUGCACAAAAAUAAUUCUAGGAAGGAUCUAGAUGUCAUGUUCAAUAAAUUUUUGCUGAAAAUCUCAAAUGAAUAGGACUUCUGUGCUAAAAACUCUAAAAUUUCUCUUGUGAAAACAUGAUUUGUAGACUCACGGAGUAUUAAAAAGUGGGCUACAACAAUUUUGGAAAAAUAACAGACAAAAUUCAGAAAGAAGAAUAUCAAUAAUGGAUACGAAGUUAAAAUAACAGCAAAUUUUGUACAUAAUUAAACAUGAGUGAAGUUCUAAAAUAACAUAAAGACCAACUUUGAAUAAAAUUACCAAAUUAUACACUUUUGCAAAAAUAUCUCAAUAUAGAUAAGCUAAAAAGACAUUAUUCAGGAAGAACUAAUCAAAUUUGGAAAGAACAAGGUCGUCUGCAAAAAACAGAGUUGGAUUACUGCAUAUUGUAAUAAAAGAUGCCACCUUCCAUGAUGACAUUGAUGCUAAUAAAUACCAGAGCUCAUCCUUGUCAUUUGAUCCUACAAUAGAAUCAAAAGAGGAGUAUCUUUUAAUUCAAUCCAAAUUUCAUGGCUAUAAAC